rnacentral:lncRNA from 1 species
CAUAGAAUGAUGCAAAUUCUUGAAGAUCAUCCGCACCUAUAGAGAUAAAUAAUUAUAUGCCAAAAUUAUUUGAGGAGUUAGAAUUUCAAUCCAAGUGUGAAUGUUUAACACUUUGCCUGCGUGGGCCUUUAACAAAAUGCCUGAUUUAACUAUUUACCUGAGACUCAUGUAUUAUGUGUGUCAGAGAUAUCUCAUUUAUAUCUGUGCAAUUUUUUCUUUGAGCUUUUUUUCAGCGAAAUACCUGUCACGUCGGCGGGUGGAAGAUCUAUUCCAGCUAUUCUGGCUGACAUGUAGGUGUGUUCCGCUGGUGAAUGAGGCUUACGGGGGUUUAAUAUUUGGCAUGGUACUAGUGACAGCAUUCCAGCUUGUUGCCGUACCCCACUACUUCUUGAUCCCCAUGUUCCAAACGAUGGACUCUGUCUCUCUCGUCCACAAGAUCUGUGCCUUUUGUGACGUCAUGUGGAUGUGUGCCUUUUUAUGCCAAAUCUUCAUCCUCGUCAGCGUCCCGGCUUUUGCGUCAGCUGAGGGUAGCAGGACAGCAAAAAUUGUUUGCAAGCAUCUGAACACGAACAUUGAGGAAUAUUUUUUGAGAGAGAUGAAGAUGUUCGUGUUCCGUCAAAACUGCUCUCUUCUUGAUUUUGAAGCAACCAACAUAAUGAAGCUAAAACUACCUUUGAUAACAUCUGUGCGUAAUUUUUACCAUUGAAUUCCUUAAUACACACUGAAAAUUGAAAACAGAAAAAAGUGUCUCACACGGCACAAAAAUUAACUACAUAAAUUUCGCUAUUUGCAAAUAUUUGGACAAAAAUACACGUAAUAUAUUCGCAUAGCCAAAGAGGCUAACUAAGCAUCAGCUUUAACCAUUUCUACUUUUAUAUUCAAAACAAGUGCUCUAAAAAUAUUCAGCAGGGAAUGACUGUAGAAUUUCCAAAUAGGUUUAAGCUCCUUCUUGUAACUUCAGCAUUGACAGGUGUGAGAGAAAAGUUUAUGAUCUCGGUAUUUAAAUUUCCAGGUAAUUGGUAUCACGGCAACUUAUAUUCUGAUUACCAUCCAAAUACGCAAUGC